AGUAAAAUCAGCUAAAUAAGCUUUUGGGCCCAUACCCCAAACAUGUCGGUUAAACCCCCUCUUUUACUA
rnacentral:tRNA from 1 species